UGACAAGUUUGACAGCUGAUGACAAUCAUUUAUAUUGAAUAUGCAAUGCUUGGCUUGGUUAACGGUACCCCUGCAUGUGGUCGGUCGUCGUAGGCGUUGUGUGAUAAUUAAAUUAAAGAAGCAAGCAAACUCACCGCAAUUUUAUUCAGGCGAGAAUUUGAUGAACUUCUAACAAGCAAUUGGCAGAGAAGAAAGAGAUCCGUUUUCAAACUGUGAAUUCGUUAAUUGAUGGAAAGUAUUGGUGGUUUUCUUACGCGCCUUGCUGAUGGACUGCUUACAAAACAAUAUGGGAUGCCCUUCCUUUGUUCGUUAUUCCCUUAAGACACACAUGACAACCAAGAAUUGCUGUUGUCAAAAUUAUUAUUAUUGUUUGCCUGAUGAGAUGAAGACAAGAAAGAGCUUUGGCUGAAAAACGUGAAAAGCAAUGUUACAAUUCGUUCGUUGAAGUUUGGUGAAGAAGCCAUUAUCUUUAAAGCGAUGUGCGGAUAUAAUCAACAACAACUCGAUUUUCACGUUUGCCAGCGUCAGGAAUACG